UACGUAGGCAGCGAGCGUUGUUCGGAAUUACUGGGCGUAAAGAGCUCGUAGGUGGUUUGUCGCGUUGUCCGUGAAAACUCACAGCUCAACUGUGGGCGUGCGGGCGAUACGGGCAGACUGGAGUACUGCAGGGGAGACUGGAAUUCCUGGUGUAGCGGUGGAAUGCGCAGAUAUCAGGAGGAACACCAGUGGCGAAGGCGGCUCUCUGGGCAGAUACUGACGCUGAGACGCGAAAGCGUGGGUAGCAAACAGG
rnacentral:rRNA from 1 species